rnacentral:rRNA from 1 species
CCUACGGGAGGCAGCAGUGGGGAAUAUUGGACAAUGGGGGGAACCCUGAUCCAGCGACGCCGCGUGCGUGAAGACGUAUUUCUGUAUUUAAAGCUCUAUUAGCACGGAAGAAAGAAAUGACGGUACCUGACUAAUAAGCCCCGGCUAACUACGUGCCAGCAGCCGCUGUAAUACGGAGGGUGCAAGCGUUAUCCGGAUUUACUGGGUGUAAAGGGAGCGUAGGUGGCGAUGCAAGUCUGACGUGAAAGGCCGGGGCCCAACCUGCGGACUGCGUUGGAAACUGGAUGGCUGGAGUGCAGGGGAGGUAAGUGGAAUUCCUAGUGUAGCGGUGAAAUGCGUAGAUAUUAGGAGGAACACCAGUGGCGAAGGCAGCUUACGGGACUGUAACUGACGUUGAGGCUCGAAAGCGUGGGGAGCAAACAGGAUUAGAUACCCUAGUAGUC